AUUGAACGCUGGCGGCAGGCUUAACACAUGCAAGUCGAGCGAGCGGCGGACGGGUGAGUUAUGUCUGGGAAACUGACUGAUGGAGGGGGAAAACUACUGGAAACGGUAGCUAAUACCGCAUACCAUCAGAUGUGCCCAGAUGGGAGUAGAUAGUAGGUGGGGUAAGGGCUCACCUAGGCGACGAUCCCUAGCUGGUCUGAGAGGAUGACCAGUCACACUGGAACUGAGACACGGUCCAGACUCCUACGGGAGGCAGCAGUGGGGAAUAUUGCACAAUGGGCGCAAGCCUGAUGCAGCCAUGCCGCGUGUGUGAAGAAGGCCUUCGGGUUGUAAAGCACUUUCAGUGGGGAGGCGUUACUAACAGAAUAAGUACCGGCUAACUCCGUGCCAGCAGCCGCGGUAAUAC
rnacentral:rRNA from 1 species